GUCAGCUUUUCUUGACCAACCAUGCCUCAAGGAUAAAUUGGAUGGGACCAGACAGGGAGACAUGACAAGAGGAGAAAUUCUCCCCUAAAUAGGGUGUUCCACAGCUUCCUAAGGCUUUUCGGCACCCACCUCAAAAUGCUAGUGAUACACAGUAUGAUACUCUCUCCAGAGGCUGGGUCCUGGCAGUGAGCCGCAGCACCUCCUCAACCACAUGAUCACAAGGUUCUACAUGUCAGUACAUGAAGUGGAGCCAAUGCAGAAGUGUACUGUGGGGAAUGUGAAAAUUAAAACUAAAGCUUUAUAUGUAAGAAUGAAAGUACAUGGUCCCCAUUCUCCCAGGCUCUCCCCUUUCAAGGCCAGAAUGAAAGGGAAAAGAAGAUGUUGGCUUCCCUCUAACACAUGGACGAUGAACUGGUAAAGGUCAAUAUUUUUUCCCUAAUUCAUUAAAAGGGUGCGAAAGCGACAACACUGGUCCUUCUGAAUUGAGAAUCUUUUUGGGUUUCCACACCAGGCCUUACUUUAAUUUAAUUUAAAUUAAAUGUAAGAGGACAAAUUAAUGUUCGGGUAUCUGCUAAGUGCCCAGUGUGGAGCCUUUGUCGGCCUUGCUCAUUUCUGUCUUCCUAGCACC